UUAGACCGUCGUGAGACAGGUUAGUUUUACCCUACUGAUGAAGUUCGCCGCAACGGUAAUUCAAUUUAGUACGAGAGGAACCGUUGAUUCAGAUAAUUGGUUUCUGCGGCUGUCUGACAAGGCAUUGCCGCGACGCUACCAUCUGCCGGAUUAUGGCUGAACGCCUCUAAGUCAGAAUCCGUGCCGGAAAGCGGCGACACCUGCCCCGCACGUUGUAGCUGGAUACAGAUAGGCCUCGGCCCCGAACCACAGCGGGCCGGCACCGGCGCCUCGGCGCCAGCCGGCGGAUUGCAAUGUCACCACGCGCGGGGAUAGAUCCUCUGCAGACGACCGAAGUGAGCAAGCGGGUCGUGUAAGCGGUCAAGUAGCCUUGUUGUUACGAGUCGCUGAGCGUCAGCCCGAUCCUUGCCUGGAUUUGU
rnacentral:rRNA from 1 species